CAUUGCCACUUCACCAUUGUAAACACACCUAACAUCAUCUGAUUUUGGAAGCUAAACAGGGUUGGGCCAGAUUAGUACUUGUAUGGGAAACUACUAGGGGAUACCAACAAUGGCUAAAU
rnacentral:rRNA from 1 species